UACGUAGGGGGCAAGCGUUGUCCGGAUUUAUUGGGCGUAAAGAGCGUGUAGGCGGCCUGAAAGGUCAGCUGUGAAAACUCGAGGCUCAACCUCGAGACGUCGGUUGAAACCAUCUGGCUAGAGCCCGGAAGAGGAGAGUGGAAUUCCCGGUGUAGCGGUGAAAUGCGCAGAUAUCGGGAAGAACACCCGUGGCGAAGGCGGCUCUCUGGGACGGUACUGACGCUGAGACGCGAAAGCGUGGGGAGCGAACAGG
rnacentral:rRNA from 1 species